rnacentral:rRNA from 2 species
GAUGAACGCUGGCGGCGUGCCUAACACAUGCAAGUCGAACGGAGAUUUAACGCUGAUGAGGCUUCGGCGGAAUCUUGUUAAAUCUUAGUGGCGGACGGGUGAGUAACGCGUGGGCAACCUGCCUCAUACUGGGGGAUAACAGUUGGAAACGGCUGUUAAUACCGCAUAAGCGCACAGUAUCGCAUGAUACAGUGUGAAAAACUCCGGUGGUAUGAGAUGGGCCCGCGUCAGAUUAGCUAGUUGGUGGGGUAAAGGCCUACCAAGGCGACGAUCUGUAGCCGGACUGAGAGGUCGGACGGCCACAUUGGGACUGAGACACGGCCCAAACUCCUACGGGAGGCAGCAGUGGGGGAUAUUGCACAAUGGAGGAAACUCUGAUGCAGCGACGCCGCGUGAGUGAAGAAGUAUUUCGGUAUGUAAAGCUCUAUCAGCAGGGAAGAAAGGCUCGUAAGAGAGAUGACGUAC